UACGUAGGCAGCGAGCGUUGUUCGGAGUUACUGGGCGUAAAGCGUGCGUAGGCGGCAGUCCAAGUCUGGUGUGAAAUCUCCCGGCUCAACCGGGAGGGUGCGCCGGGAAACUGGGCUGCUGGAGUGCGGGAGAGGUAAGCGGAAUUCCCGGUGUAGCGGUGAAAUGCGUAGAUAUCGGGGAGGAACACCUGCGGUGUAGACGGCUUACUGGACCGCCACUGACGCUGAGGCACGAAAGCGUGGGUAGCAAACAGG
rnacentral:rRNA from 1 species